UACGUAGGGGGGCAAGCGUUGUCCGGAUUCAUUGGGCGUAAAGAGCGUGUAGGCGGCCAGGUAGGUUGGUUGUGAAAAACUGGAGGCUCAACCUUCAGACGUCGAUCGAAACCAUCUGGCUAGAGUCCGGGAGAGGAGAGUGGAAUUCCAGGUGUAGCGGUGAAAUGCGUAGAUAUCUGGAGGAACACCGGUGGCGAAGGCGGCAUCCUGGACCGGUAUUGACACUGAGGCGCGAAAGCCAGGGGAGCAAACGGG
rnacentral:rRNA from 1 species